GCUGCCCAUAAGACUGGGAUAACUCCGGGAAACCGGGGCUAAUACCGGAUAACAUUUUGAACUGCAUGGUUCGAAAUUGAAAGGCGGCUUCGGCUGUCACUUAUGGAUGGACCCGCGUCGCAUUAGCUAGUUGGUGAGGUAACGGCUCACCAAGGCAACGAUGCGUAGCCGACCUGAGAGGGUGAUCGGCCACACUGGGACUGAGACACGGCCCAGACUNCUACGGGAGGCAGCAGUAGGGAAUCUUCCGCAAUGGACGAAAGUCUGACGGAGCAACGCCGCGUGAGUGAUGAAGGCUUUCGGGUCGUAAAACUCUGUUGUUAGGGAAGAACAAGUGCUAGUUGAAUAAGCUGGCACCUUGACGGUACCUAACCAGAAAGCCACGGCUAACUACGUGCCAGCAGCCGCGGUAAUACGUAGGUGGCAAGCGUUAUCCGGAAUUAUUGGGCGUAAAGCGCGCGCAGGUGGUUUCUUAAGUCUGAUGUGAAAGCCCACGGCUCAACCGUGGAGGGUCAUUGGAAACUGGGAGACUUGAGUGCAGAGGAGGAAAGUGGAAUUCCAUGUGUAGCGGUGAAAUGCGUAGAGAUAUGGAGGAACACCAGUGGCGAAGGCGACUUUCUGGUCUGUAACUGACACUGAGGCGCGAAAGCGUGGGGAGCAAACAGGAUUAGAUACCCUGGUAGUCCACGCCGUAAACGAUGAGUGCUAAGUGUUAGAGGGUUUCCGCCCUUUAGUGCUGAAGUUAACGCAUUAAGCACUCCGCCUGGGGAGUACGGCCGCAAGGCUGAAACUCAAAGGAAUUGACGGGGNCCCGCACAAGCGGUGGACCAUGUGGUUUAAUUC
rnacentral:rRNA from 1 species